rnacentral:rRNA from 1 species
CUUGAACGCUGGCGGCAUGCCUAACACAUGCAAGUCGCACGCGAAAGGGGGCAACCCCAAGUAGAGUGGCGGACGGGUGCGUAAUACGCAGGAAUCUACCCACGAGUGGGGGACAACCCGGGAAACCCGGGCUAAUACCGCAUGAGACCUACGGGUGAAAGCGGGGGAUCGCAAGACCUCGCGCUGGUGGAUGAGCCUGCGUCCGAUUAGCUAGUUGGUAGGGUAAAGGCCUACCAAGGCAACGAUCGGUAGCUGGUCUGAGAGGACGACCAGCCACACUGGGACUGAGACACGGCCCAGACUCCUACGGGAGGCAGCAGUGGGGAAUCUUGCGCAAUGGGCGAAAGCCUGACGCAGCGACGCCGCGUGA